rnacentral:snoRNA from 1 species
GUAAAUGAUGACCUUAAAAUUUUCACGACGGUCAACUUAGCCAUAAGCUAUGACGAUAUUUGCCUGUGACAAGGCUACUACACACUGAAA